rnacentral:rRNA from 1 species
CGAUUAGCUAGUUGGCGGGGUAGAAGCCCACCAAGGCUGUGAUCGGUAGGGGUUCUGAGAGGAAGGUCCCCCACACGGGCACUGAGACACGGGCCCGACUCCUACGGGAGGCAGCAGUAGGGAUAUUGGGCAAUGGGCGAGAGCCUGACCCAGCCAUGCCGCGUGCCGGACGAAGCGCUCAGCGUUGUAAACGGCUUUUGACGGGAAGAAGGUCUCGCUCCGCAGAGUGUGACGGUACCCGUCGAAGAAGCACCGGCUAACUCCGUGCCAGCAGCCGCGGUAAUACGGAGGUGCAAGCGUUGUCCGGAUUUAUUGGGUUUAAAGGGUACGUAGGCGGCCUGCUAAGUCCGAGGUGAAAGGUUGGGCUCAACCCAGACGUGCCUUGGAUACUGGCGGGCUUGAAUGACCUAGGGGCCGGCGGAAUGGGGGGUGUACGGUGAAAUGCAUAGAUACCCCCCGGAACCCCAUGGCAAAGGCGCCGGUGGGGGUCAACUGAACUAGGCGCGAUGG